UCAGGUUACACCUGAAAUGUGGAAAGGAAAGUGCCAGGAGGUUGAAAAUGCUAAUGAGUGGGAACGAUACUGGAGAGGCCGACAUGACUCUUUGCUACAAGAAGGUGAAGAUUGGAUGAACGCAAGGGAAAAUGUGAAUGCUAGUUUGGCAGCCUGCGAGGAAACCAUCCAGUUUUUACAUGAACAAAGAAAUGAGUAUCGAGA
rnacentral:lncRNA from 1 species